rnacentral:rRNA from 1 species
UACGGAGGGUGCAAGCGUUGCCCGGAAUUAUUGGGCGUAAAGGGCAAGUAGGUGGUCUCAUUUGUCUGGGGUGAAAUCUCACGGCUUAACUGUGAGCGUGCGGGCGAUACGGGCAGACUGGAGUACUGCAGGGGAGACUGGAAUUCCUGGUGUAGCGGUGGAAUGCGCAGAUAUCAGGAGGAACACCGGUGGCGAAGGCGGGUCUCUGGGCAGUAACUGACGCUGAGGAGCGAAAGCGUGGGGAGCGAACAGG